rnacentral:lncRNA from 1 species
GGCACGGCGUGGGCUCCUUAUUAAUUAAUAAGUUUGCUACACAUUACUAGCAAACGUAACUUCACUGAUAACCUACAUGGAUUUAAAUGUCAAAAGACCCGUAUUUCGGAUAACGUAUGCAUGCUAGUUAUGGAAAGUACAGUUGCUCUCUACUCUACAUUCAUUACACCUAGCAGGCUCAUACACACACAGUAACCACUCUCUGAACUUUGUAAAUACAACUAGUACUUUUGUUUCUGUUUUUGUUAUUAUUAUUAUUAGCAAUUAUUACAAUGCAACUAUAUGACAGGAUGAUAGAAAUGACCAAAUGCAAUUAUUUAACGAACAGCAUUUAUGAACUCUGUGUUUAAAUACAUACAGCUGCAAGAGUAGGGACAUCCAGUAGUGGUACUCCAGGGACCAGGAACACACAGCCUGCAUCAAGUGAGUCUAUUUAAUAGUAUUUAUUCAAGCCACAUCCAUACUUUAAAGUACAACAGAAAAAGGUUAGCAUGUAUUAAAAUACAAUAGCUUGUUUUCUUUAAGAAGUUCAACCACAAUCAUCAUUUCACUCACUGCUUGUCUGGUUAUACAAUAUGCUUGUAUACACCCAGAACCACAUCAAGCACUCAGGGCACCAGUGAAAGACACGCGACUGAGACCAGGGACACACAGCCUGAAGGAAGUUAGUCAUUUGAAAUAACUAAUUUAAGCUUACAACCAUCUGACAAUAUGUACUAGAAGAUAAUGAAAACAUGGAAAUCACAAUAACAUUGCAUCCCUACGAAUCUAAUUUCAACCACAGUUUAAGUAAUUUUCACUAAUUUAAUUUAACACCACUGAUCUGGCUUUUGCAGGUGAAGGGGCCACAUCUAGUAUUCCAGGCCUCAGUGAAACACAGACCACUGAGACCAGGGAUACUCAGCCUGAAGCAAUGAAGGAACAACAAACACAACAAGCUCUGCUACUACACUGCCGCCUGCAUACACCUCACCAUCUGCAAUUCCUGAUUUCCAGGGAGCACCUAUAGAUCCUGCUGACUGGCCAGCCCUCUGUGAUGCGAUAAGGACAGAGUUAGUUAGCAGAAGACCGUACCAGACCAGUCCAGACUUUACAUUUCCAAAAAGAGAUGACAGGAGAAGCUGCCACUACAACCACUUCUUGGGUGUGUGAGUUCACUAGUGUGUGUGCACUUUGAUGGGUUAUUAUGGGUACUUAGAUGGUGAC